UACAGAGGUCUCAAGCGUUGUUCGGAUUCAUUGGGCGUAAAGGGUGCGUAGGCGGUGGGGCAAGUCAGGUGUGAAAUCCCGGAGCUCAACUCCGGAACUGCACUUGAUACUGCCUUGCUAGAGUACUGGAGAGGAGACUGGAAUUUACGGUGUAGCAGUGAAAUGCGUAGAGAUCGUAAGGAAGACCAGUGGCGAAGGCGAGUCUCUGGACAGCUACUGACGCUGAGGCACGAAGGCCAGGGGAGCAAACGGG
rnacentral:rRNA from 1 species